rnacentral:tRNA from 1 species
GGGCCCGUCGUCUAGUGGCUAGGGUCUCUGGCUAAGACGCCACCCUCACGAGGUGGAGGUCCGGGUUCGAUUCCCGGCGGGCCCA